UAAGCGGAGGAAAAGAAACUAACAAGGAUUCCCCUAGUAACGGCGAGUGAAGCGGGAAGAGCUUCAAAUUUAAAAUCUGGCAGCCUUUGGCUGUCCGAAUUGUAAUCUAGAGAAGCGUUUUCCGCGCUGGACUGUGUACAAGUUUCCUGGAUACGGAACAUCAUAGAGGGUGAGAAUCCCGUCCUUGACACAGACUCCCAGUGCUCUGUGAUGCGCUCUCGACGAGUCGAGUUGUUUGGGAUUGCAGCUCAAAAUGGGAGGUAAAUUCCUUCUAAAGCUAAAUAUUGGCGAGAGACCGAUAGCGAACAAGUACCGUGAGGGAAAGAUGAAAAGCACUUUGGAAAGAGAGUUAAACAGUACGUGAAAUUGUUAAAAGGGAAACGAUUGAAGUCAGUCGCGUCUGCUUGGACUCAGCCUUACCUCGGUUUGGUGCAUUUCCUUGUAGACGGGCCAGCGUCCAUGUUGUAUGCCAGAAAAUGUCUAGGGGAAUGUGGCUCUCUCGGGAGUGUUAUAGCCCUUGGUCGUAUAUGGUGCAUGAUAUGGAGUGGUACAGCAUGCUUCGGCGGUGCUUGUGCUGGCAUAAUGGCUUUAACCGACCCGUCUUGAAACACGGACCAAGGAGUCUAACAUGUCUGCGAGUGUUUGGGUGAUAAACCCGGGCGCGUAAUGAAAGUGAUAGCUGGGAACCCCGCAAGGGAGGCACCGGCGCCCCGAGCUGACCUUCUGUGACGCAUCGGAGGUAGAGCAUAUAUGUUGGGGACCCGAAAGAUGGUGAACUAUGCCUGAAUAGGGCGAAGCCAGAGGAAACUCUGGUGGAGGCUCGUAGCGAUUCUGACGUGCAAAUCGAUCGUCAAAUUUGGGUAUAGGGGCGAAAGACUAAU
rnacentral:rRNA from 1 species